rnacentral:rRNA from 1 species
UACGUAGGGGGCUAGCGUUGUCCGGAUUUAUUGGGCGUAAAGAGCGUGUAGGCGGCCCGAUAAGUCCGCCGUGAAAGUCCGGGGCUCAACCCUGGAAUGCCGGUGGAAACUGUCGGGCUGGAGUCCGGAAGAGGCGAGUGGAAUUCCUGGUGUAGCGGUGAAAUGCGCAGAUAUCAGGAGGAACACCAAUGGCGAAGGCAGCUCGCUGGGACGGUACUGACGCUGAGACGCGAAAGCGUGGGGAGCAAACAGG